AAUGCUCAUCACAUAAACAUGAAGUUUCCUCCAAAAGGAAUGAUGACUAAUGCUUUGAGGAAACAGCAGACGUCAGACAGCAAGCCCAGAAAAACCUGCCAGCACCAAGAGGGUGUCCUCAACAGGCGCCUGGGGGACAUAUUAUUCUAACUAAAGAGACCAGAGCUUCCCCAGGAAGGGAAGAGGAGAGAAAUGAAGAACGUCUGUGUUCAUGUUUGCCAAAAACAAAAGUCUGAGAAAUCUCUGAGAGACUCUACAUGGGAGGGCACUAAUCGAAGCACCUCAUUUAAAGUGAGAAAAGCUUUGCUAAGGGCAGAUGAUUCAGCACGGUAUCCUUCGAUGAGUACUGUCAUCUCAAAUCCUUUUUAAGAAGAAAAGUGCAACCCACUGGAGAAAGAGAGGGACUCCGAGGAAGGAGAGAGAGAAGAGCAUCAAGCACAAAUGAUGAUCUCCUAGGACAGUGGCAGCUUCUGAGAAUGCACAGGAAAGUGACCAGGGAAAGAAUGAUUCCAUCUCCAGGAAUCCCUGGUGAUCUUCAGAGCCCAGACAGGACCCUGCUGGGCCAUGGUAACU
rnacentral:lncRNA from 1 species